AUAGAGGAAAGCGGAAUACAUAGUGUAGAGGUGAAAUUCGUAGAUAUUAUGUAGAACACCAGUUGCGAAGGCGGCUUUCUGGAUCAACACUGACGCUGAGGCGCGAAAGUAUGGGUAGCAAAGAGGAUUAGAUACCCUCGUAGUCCAUACCAUAAACGAUGAUUGCUAGAUGUUGGAAAUUUAUUUUCAGUAUCGCAGCUAACGCAUUAAGCAAUCCGCCUGGGGAGUACGACCGCAAGGUUAAAACUCAAAUGAGUUGACGGGGACCCGCACAAGCGGUGGAGCAUGUGGUUUAAUUCGAAGAUACGCGCAGAACCUUACCAACCCUUGACAUGUCUGUCGCGAGUUUAGGAAACUAGACUUUUCGGUUCGGCCGGACAGAACACAGGUGCUGCAUGGCUGUCGUCAGCUCGUGUCGUGAGAUGUUGGGUUAAGUCCCGCAACGAGCGCAACCCCUACUUUUAGUUGCCAUCAGGUAAUGCUGGGCACUCUGAAAGAACUGCCAGUGAUAAGCUGGAGGAAGGUGGGGAUGACGUCAAGUCCUCAUGGCCCUUACGGGUUGGGCUACACACGUGCUACAAUGGUAGUGACAAUGAGAUGCAAGGUGGCGACGCUAAGCUAAACUCAAAAAUCUACCUCAGUUCGGAUUGCACUCUGCAACUCGAGUGCAUGAAGCUGGAAUCGCUAGUAAUCGUAGAUCAGCGUGCUACGGUGAAUACGUUCCCGGGUCUUGUACACACCGCCCGUCACACCAUGGAAGUUGGUUCUACCUUAGAGCAGAUUGCUAACCGCAAGGAGGCGUUUGACCAAGGUAUAGUCAGCGACUGGGG
rnacentral:rRNA from 1 species